UAUAAGGUUUAUAGGCACUGGGCCCAAUUAUACAUUCUGUUACAUACUAAGGGUAUAUGAAAAACAUAGACUUGGAAAUGCAAAGAAAGCUGACCCAAGAGCACAGCAUUCUUCCCGACCGAGUUGCCUCGGAAAGUGUAUCCAAGUCUACAAGAUGUGCACAGGUGGAGAGAUGAGAAUGGCGGGUGUGCACAUGCCCCCAAGAGGGCCAGCAACAACCACACCAAGUUCAUUCAAUAAUGAUCCUUCCGCAGGUUCACCUACGGAAA
rnacentral:misc_RNA from 1 species